rnacentral:rRNA from 1 species
UACGUAGGGGGCAAGCGUUGUCCGGAUUUAUUGGGCGUAAAGAGCGUGUAGGCGGCUAGAUAGGUCCGCUGUGAAAACUCGAGGCUCAACCUCGAGACGCCGGUGGAAACCAUCAGGCUAGAGUCCGGAAGAGGAGAGUGGAAUUCCUGGUGUAGCGGUGAAAUGCGCAGAUAUCAGGAAGAACACCCGUGGCUAAGGCGGCUCUCUAGUACGGUACUGACGCUGAGACGCGAAAGCGUGGGGAGCGAACAGG